UACGGAGGAUGCAAGCGUUAUCCGGAUUCAUUGGGUUUAAAGGGUGCGUAGGCGGCUUUUUAAGUCAGUGGUGAAAUCCUGUCGCUUAACGAUAGAAUUGCCAUUGAUACUGAAAGGCUUGAGUACAGUUGAGGUAAGCGGAAUGUGUAGUGUAGCGGUGAAAUGCUUAGAUAUUACACAGAACACCGAUUGCGAAGGCAGCUUACUAAGCUGAAACUGACGCUGAUGCACGAAAGCGUGGGGAUCAAACAGGAUUAGAUACCCUGGUAGUCCACGCUGUAAACGAUGCUCACUCGCUGUUUGCGAUAUACAGCAAGCGGCCAAUCGAAAGAAUUAAGUGAGCCACCUGGGGAGUACGAUCGCAAGGUUGAAACUCAAAGGAAUUGACGGGGGCCCGCACAAGCGGAGGAACAUGUGGUUUAAUUCGAUGAUACGCGAGGAACCUUACCUGGGCUUAAAUGGGGACUGACGUAGGUGGAAACACUUAUUUCUUCGGACAGUCUUCAAGGUGCUGCAUGGUUGUCGUCAGCUCGUGCCGUGAGGUGUCGGGUUAAGUCCCAUAACGAGCGCAACCCUUAUCGUCAGUUGCCAGCGGGUGAUGCCGGGGACUCUAGCGAGACUGCCACCGUAAGGUGAGAGGAAGGUGGGGAUGACGUCAAGUCCUCAUGGCCCUUAUGGGUAGGGCUUCACACGUCAUACAAUGGUCGGUACAGAGGGUUGCCAAGCCGCGAGGUGGAGCCAAUCCCAGAAAGCCGAUCGUAGUCCGGAUCGCAGUCUGCAACUCGACUGCGUGAAGUCGGAAUCGCUAGUAAUCGCGGAUCAGCAUGCCGCGGUGAAUACGUUCCCGGGUCU
rnacentral:rRNA from 1 species